rnacentral:rRNA from 1 species
GGACGAACGCUGGCGGCGUGCCUAACACAUGCAAGUCGAGCGAGGAGAGUUCCUCGGGAUGAUCCUAGCGGCGGACGGGUGAGUAACACGUGGGCAACCUGCCUCAUAGAGAGGAAUAGCCUUCCGAAAGGGAGAUUAAUACCUCAUAACAUUGCAGUUUCGCAUGGAACAGCAAUUAAAGGAGCAAUCCGCUAUGAGAUGGGCCCGCGGCGCAUUAGCUAGUUGGUGAGGUAACGGCUCACCAAGGCGACGAUGCGUAGCCGACCUGAGAGGGUGAUCGGCCACAUUGGGACUGAGACACGGCCCAGACUCCUACGGGAGGCAGCAGUGGGGAAUAUUGCACAAUGGGGGAAACCCUGAUGCAGCAACGCCGCGUGAGUGAUGACGGCCUUCGGGUUGUAAAGCUCUGUCUUCAGGGACGAUAAUGACGGUACCUGAGGAGGAAGCCACGGCUAACUACGUGCCAGCCGCCGC